rnacentral:rRNA from 1 species
UCCGUAGGUGAACCUGCGGAAGGAUCAUUAAUAAAUGCUUCAUUGCAUCCACCUUUUGUGCACCGUAAAUUUUCACUUAAACUUUGUCUGAUUUAUAUCUGUUCUUGAAGGAACAUGAAUUGUAAUCUAAUACAACUUUUAACAAUGGAUCUCUUGGCUCUCGCAUCGAUGAAGAACGCAGCGAAAUGCGAUAAGUAAUGUGAAUUGCAGAAUUCAGUGAAUCAUCGAAUCUUUGAACGCAUAUUGCGCUCUCCGGCAUUCCGGAGAGCAUGCCUGUUUGAGUCUUGGUACCAAUCUGGUGUAACCUUUGUAUUAAGGAUAGAACUUUUUAUAAAAAACUGCAUUGAGACGUCUUGAUAAGUAAAAUUGUUAAGUGUCUUAAAAUACAAUAGUACAGCUAUAGCUCACCCUCUUUGGAGUAAUAUGUGACCUGAAAGGGUAACUCUAUUUCUCCUCGUUGGGAAGACUUGUUGCUGGAAGUUUUUGAUUGCUGAACGUCAAAGGCGGCAUUCAAUUGUUCGAGUAACGACGAACUUAAAAAUUCAAGCUCAAAUCAGGUAGGAUUACCCGCUGAACUUAAGCAUAUCAAUAAGCGGAGGA